rnacentral:piRNA from 1 species
UGUUUCUCAGUUGACCUGUACAGUAAUGU